rnacentral:rRNA from 1 species
UACGUAGGGUGCGAGCCGUUGUCCGGAAUUAUUGGGCGUAAAGAGCUCGUAGGCGGUUUGUCGCGUCUGCUGUGAAAUCCCGAGGCUCAACCUCGGGUCUGCAGUGGGUACGGGCAGACUGGAGUGCGGUAGGGGAGAAUGGAAUUCCUGGUGUAGCGGUGGAAUGCGCAGAUAUCAGGAGGAACACCGAUGGCGAAGGCAGAUCUCUGGGCCGUAACUGACGCUGAGGAGCGAAAGCAUGGGGAGCGAACAGG